ACAUGCAAGUCGAGCGCAGGAAGCCGUCCUGAACCCUUCGGGGGGACGGACGGUGGAAUGAGCGGCGGACGGGUGAGUAACACGUAAAGAACCUGCCCAUAGGUCUGGGAUAACCACGAGAAAUCGGGGCUAAUACCGGAUGUGUCAUCGGACCGCAUGGUCCGCUGAUGAAAGGCGCUUCGGCGUCGCCCAUGGAUGGCUUUGCGGUGCAUUAGCUAGUUGGUGGGGUAAUGGCCCACCAAGGCGACGAUGCAUAGCCGACCUGAGAGGGUGAUCGGCCACACUGGGACUGAGACACGGCCCAGACUCCUACGGGAGGCAGCAGUAGGGAAUCUUCCACAAUGGACGAAAGUCUGAUGGAGCAACGCCGCGUGAACGAUGAAGGCUUUCGGGUCGUAAAGUUCUGUUGUAAGGGAAGAACAAGUGCCGCAGGCAAUGGCGGCACCUUGACGGUACCUUGCGAGAAAGCCACGGCUAACUACGUGCCAGCAGCCGCGGUAAUACGUAGGUGGCAAGCGUUGUCCGGAAUUAUUGGGCGUAAAGCGCGCGCAGGCGGCCUCUUAAGUCUGAUGUGAAAGCCCCCGGCUCAACCGGGGAGGGCCAUUGGAAACUGGGAGGCUUGAGUAUAGGAGAGAAGAGUGGAAUUCCACGUGUAGCGGUGAAAUGCGUAGAGAUGUGGAGGAA
rnacentral:rRNA from 1 species